UACGGGGGGAGCAAGCGUUGUUCGGAUUUACUGGGCGUAAAGGGCGCGUAGGCGGCCACCGCAAGUCGACUGUGAAAUCUCCGGGCUUAACCCGGAAAGGUCAGCCGAUACUGCGGGGCUAGAGUGCAGAAGGGGCAACUGGAAUUCUUGGUGUAGCGGUGAAAUGCGUAGAUAUCGAGAGGAACACCUGCGGCGAAGGCGGGUUGCUGGGCUGACACUGACGCUGAGGCGCGAAAGCUAGGGGAGCGAACGGG
rnacentral:rRNA from 1 species